rnacentral:rRNA from 1 species
ACGUAGGGUGCGAGCGUUAAUCGGAAUUACUGGGCGUAAAGCGUGCGCAGGCGGUUUUGUAAGACAGGCGUGAAAUCCCCGGGCUUAACCUGGGAACUGCGUUUGUGACUGCAAGGCUAGAGUUCGGCAGAGGGGGCUGGAAUUUCACGUGUAGCGGUGAAAUGCUUAGAGAUGUGGAGGAACACCAAUGGCGAAGGCAGCCUCCUGAGUCGAUACUGACGCUCAUGCACGAAAGCGUGGGUAGCAAACAG